AUUAGGUGCGUCGUCUUACUUCCGGGUUGAGAGUUGUGCGGGAAGUUUGGAGCUGCUAAGCGCUUGUAUUUAUUUGCGUUCGGUAACUAGUGUUGUGUACAGGUUCAGAUGCCACCCAAAACCAAGGCGGCCGGUAAAGCUAAAGGGCCGGCGAAGAGAAAGCUGGCCGAGGAGUUCCCGCCCGGAGAGGUUCUGACGGACACGGCGAAGAAAAGCUGGAAGCUCGGCACUCCUGUCGGUCAGGGAGGCUUUGGCCUGUUGUAUCUGGCGAGCGACGACACGUCGAAGGCCGUCAGAGCCGACGCACCUUACGUCGUCAAAGUGGAGCCGAGCGAUAAUGGCCCUCUCUUCUCCGAGCUGAAGUUUUACAUGCGAGCCGCCAAACCUGAUCUGAUCGGCGCUUGGAUAAAGUCCCGGAAACUGAAAUACUUAGGGGUGCCAAAAUAUUGGGGCUCAGGACUUCACGAGAAAGGAGGCAAGAGGUACAGGUUCAUGGUCAUGGACCGAUUCGGAACGGAUCUGCAGAAGAAGUUCGAAGAAGGCGGCAAGAGAUUUCCCCGGAAAUUGGUUCUUCAGCUUGGCCUUAGACUCCUCGACAUCCUCGAGUACAUCCACGACCACGAAUACGUCCACGCCGAUAUCAAAGCCUCCAACCUCCUACUCUCCCACAAGAACCCCAAUCAGGUUUACUUGGUGGAUUACGGACUGGCCUACAGAUACUCGCCGGAAGGUGUGCCGAAGGAAUACAAAGAGGACCCGAAGAGAUGCCACGACGGGACCAUCGAGUUCACCAGCAUCGACGCACAUCACGGAGUUUCUCCCUCCAGAAGAGGCGAUCUUGAAAUCCUGGGUUACUGCAUGAUCCAGUGGCUGUGCAGCCGUCUGCCCUGGGAGGAUAAACUCCAGGACCCGGUUUACGUCAGAGAAUCGAAAAUACGGUGUCGCAACAACAUCAGAGAUUUUAUGAAGAGCUGUUUCACUGCAGGACAGGAACCAGGCGUCAGAGGAGCCGUUUGCUCGCCGUAUGAAGCGAUGGCACUUCUGAAGCUCGGUGACAGGCGCACAGCAGAAGGAGCGAUCCCUCCUCGGGCUGUUGUCUUGCUCGCGCACGUCUCGUCCCAACGCCGAGGUGACGGGAGGCGGCGCGCUUAGCGAGGCCAUCAUGGCUAAUUCUGUUUGGUGUGACAAUUUGAGCAGCCGACGACAAACAACAGUCUGCGAGCAGCAGCGAAUGAGAAACAGCGCGCGGUGUUUUGUCGCCCUCUUUUCCCACUAAACUUAGCCUGAAGGUCAGAGUGCCGCCGCCCGCCGCGCGGAGACUCGGGUGCAGGAAGCGCGCUCGAAAUUCCCAGCGCAGUGUUAAACACACACCUUCCCCUUUUAUCGCUUUGCGAAAUGGAAACGGCUCUUCACGCAGAGGCGGGCAAAAGUUCUGCUUUCUGCCAGUCACGCCGUCCGUCUCAUCCGGCGCAGUGAUGCAGAACGACGCACAGUGUGCGGAAUAAUGCCUUCGGUGGCGUGCUGUCGUAGGGAAAUAAUCAUCGAUGGAGCGGAGAGGAACUUCUGAAGUUCAUGGAGGAGGUGAAGACCCUGGGGUACACGGACAAACCCGACUACCCGAAGCUGCGCGGCAUUCUGCAGCAGGGAUUAAAGAGCAUCGGCGCCACCGACGACGACAAGCUGGACUUCUCGG